rnacentral:rRNA from 1 species
UACGUUGAGCUGGCUAGGUCGUACAGGUAGCCUUGAGUUUGAUCCUGGCUCAGGUGAAGAAGGUAGCACUUAAGUUAGAUGCCCUCUAAAGUGGGAUAACGACAGCAAACGGUUUCUAAUACCGGAUAAUUUAUUUUGCAGCAUUGUGAAAUAAUGAAAGGCGGAGCAAUCUGUCACUUGAGGAUGGGCCUGCGGCGCAUUAGCUAGUUGGUGGGGUAACGGCUCACCAAGGCGACGAUGCGUAGCCGACCUGAGAGGGUGAACGGCCACACUGGGACUGAGACACGGCCCAGACUCCUACGGGAGGCAGCAGUAGGGAAUCUUCCGCAAUGGGCGAAAGCCUGACGGAGCAACGCCGCGUGAGUGAUGAAGGUUUUCGGAUCGUAAAGCUCUGUUGCCAAGGAAGAACGUCUUCUAGAGUAACUGCUAGGAGAGUGACGGUACUUGAGAAGAAAGCCCCGGCUAACUACGUGCCAGCAGCCGCGGUAAUACGUAGGGGGCAAGCGUUGUCCGGAAUUAUUGGGCGUAAAGCGCGCGCAGGCGGUUCUUUAAGUCUGGUG